rnacentral:precursor_RNA from 9 species
UUUUGUUUUGAAGUAUUUGCUUCCCAUAGCCAUUAGAGGGGUUGUGAUGUGUCUUAGUGAUAUCAUAUCACAGCCUGCUUUGAUGAGCUAUUGGCUGCUUUCCUCAGCACUGAAAUUA